UACGAAGGGGGCUAGCGUUGUUCGGAAUACUGGGCGUAAAGCGUGCGCAGGCGGUUCGUUGUGUCGGCGGUGAAAGCCCCGGGCUUAACCUGGGAAUGGCCGUUGAAACUGGCGAACUGGAGUGUGGCAGAGGGGGGGUGGAAUUCCGCGUGUAGCAGUGAAAUGCGUAGAGAUGCGGAGGAACACCGAUGGCGAAGGCAGCCCCCCUGGGCUAACACUGACGCUCAGGCACGAAAGCGUGGGGAGCAAACAGG
rnacentral:rRNA from 1 species